CACUUUCCCAUUCGACCUGCUUAAAUGACGCAUUAAAACUCCAUACAAGACUAGGAGAAAAAUAAUUCAAGUUUCAAGAGUCCUCUUGUAGUCUUUUUCACAAUCAGUCUUUCUUUUCAAGCUAAAAUAUCGGCAUUUUUUGUAGACCAAGAAAAAAUCUAUUAUAAGCUGAGAUGUAUGAUUACGAUAAUAUUCUGUUUAAGACAUUUUAUGAGACUAUGAAUCACAUUAACCAACAGAACAUAAUGAGCUCAGAUUUUCCAACGCAGUGGAACAGAACCCAAACUUAUUGCCUAGAAGGAAAUGUAAAUGAAAAUAAAGAAUAUAACCAGUGAAAAUAAAGUAUGAUUAAUAAAGUAGAAUAUGAUUAAAGAAUAUAACCAGUGAAAGGAAAUUUUAGAUCGCAAAUAUA
rnacentral:misc_RNA from 1 species